rnacentral:rRNA from 1 species
AACGAACGCUGGCGGCAUGCCUAACACAUGCAAGUCGAACGAGACCUUCGGGUCUAGUGGCGCACGGGUGCGUAACACGUGGGAAUUUGCCUCGGGGUAUGGAAUAACUCAGGGAAACUUGAGCUAAUACCAUAUAAUGUCUUCGGACCAAAGAUUUAUCGCCCUGAGAUAAGCCCGCGUAGGAUUAGCUAGUUGGUGGGGUAAAGGCUCACCAAGGCGACGAUCCUUAGCUGGUCUGAGAGGAUGAUCAGCCACACUGGGACUGAGACACGGCCCAGACUCCUACGGGAGGCAGCAGUGGGGAAUAUUGGACAAUGGGCGAAAGCCUGAUCCAGCAAUGCCGCGUGAGUGAUGAAGGCCUUAGGGUUGUAAAGCUCUUUACCCGAGAUGAUAAUGACAGUAUCGGGAGAAUAAGCUCCGGCUAACUCCGUGCCAGCAG